UGGGGAAUAUUGCACAAUGGGCGAAAGCCUGAUGCAGCAACGCCGCGUGAGUGAUGAAGGCCUUCGGGUUGUAAAGCUCUGUCUUUUGGGACGAUAAUGACGGUACCAAAGGAGGAAGCCACGGCUAACUACGUGCCAGCAGCCGCGGUAAUACGUAGGUGGCAAGCGUUGUCCGGAUUUACUGGGCGUAAAGGAUGCGUAGGUGGAUAUUUAAGUGGGAUGUGAAGUACCCGGGCUCAACUUGGGUGCUGCAUUCCAAACUGGAUAUCUAGAGUGCAGGAGAGGUAAGUGGAAUUCCUAGUGUAGCGGUGAAAUGCGUAGAGAUUAGGAAGAACACCAGUGGCGAAGGCGACUUACUGGACUGUAACUGACACUGAGGCAUGAAAGCGUGGGGAGCAAACAGGAUUAGAUACCCUGGUAGUCCACGCCGUAAACGAUGGGUACUAGGUGUAGGAGGGUCCAACCUUCUGUGCCGCCGUUAACACAAU
rnacentral:rRNA from 1 species